rnacentral:rRNA from 1 species
AUUGAACGCUGGCGGCAUGCCUUACACAUGCAAGUCGAACGGCAGCACGGGGCAACCUGGUGGCGAGUGGCGAACGGGUGAGUAAUGCAUCGGAACGUGCCAUUGAGUGGGGGAUAACGUAGCGAAAGUUGCGCUAAUACCGCAUAUUCUGUGAGCAGGAAAGCAGGGGACCGCAAGGCCUUGCGCUCUUUGAGCGGCCGAUGUCAGAUUAGCUAGUUGGUGAGGUAAAGGCUUACCAAGGCGACGAUCUGUAGCGGGUCUGAGAGGAUGAUCCGCCACACUGGAACUGAGACACGGUCCAGACUCCUACGGGAGGCAGCAGUGGGGAAUUUUGGACAAUGGGCGCAAGCCUGAUCCAGCCAUGCCGCGUGAGUGAAGAAGGCCUCGGUU